GUGGGGAAUAUUGGACAAUGGGCGCAAGCCUGAUCCAGCCAUGCCGCGUGUGUGAAGAAGGCCUUUUGGUUGUAAAGCACUUUAAGCGAGGAGGAGGCUACCGAGAUUAAUACUCUUGGAUAGUGGACGUUACUCACAGAAUAAGCACCGGCUAACUCUGUGCCAGCAGCCGCGGUAAUACAGAGGGUGCAAGCGUUAAUCGGAUUUACUGGGCGUAAAGCGCGCGUAGGUGGCCAAUUAAGUCAAAUGUGAAAUCCCCGAGCUUAACUUGGGAAUUGCAUUCGAUACUGGUUGGCUAGAGUAUGGGAGAGGAUGGUAGAAUUCCAGGUGUAGCGGUGAAAUGCGUAGAGAUCUGGAGGAAUACCGAUGGCGAAGGCAGCCAUCUGGCCUAAUACUGACACUGAGGUGCGAAAGCAUGGGGAGCAAACAGGAUUAGAAACCCCUGUAGUCC
rnacentral:rRNA from 1 species